AAAUGAGCACUUGAUAAAGCACGGCGAGAUCGGGAGGCUCUACAAGCGUUUGCUUUGAUUAAAGCCAAACAGAGGCGCGCGCGUUGAAUGUGCGCGUCUGAGCGCGGCGGGCUCAAGGAGAUCGGACGCUACCAUUCACACCGAGGGAGAACAGACCGCACCGGCGUGCAUGCUUUCAGACACAUGCCGCUGAAACCUCAAAACAUAUGUCCGGACGGAUAAAUAUUGCCGUCGACGUGAGUUACGAGUUGACCAACAGAUGCUGAAUGGAAACGACGUGUUCCUUUCAUUUUCUUACGGAGGAUUUGCUCGCGCUUCAGUGUGAAGACAGGGCAGAGCAAAAGGAGAGAGAGCUCCAGAACAGGCCAGAACUCAGCGGCAGAGAUCAGAAGAGGUUCAACAAAGAUAUCAACUUGUAAAUUCGGCAAGACAACAGAGGCGAUAUCAAUGCAUUGCUAAAAUUAUGAGGUGGAAUGAAACAUUGCACACUGUAUGGAUUGUUCAAUAUUUCAUCCCUCAGCUGCAUUCCAAUUCCACCUCCGAACGCAGUAUAUUCAUGAGCCGGGGACUUGUCUACUGACUCCAAAUGAGAAGGGCAAUGCAAUGCUCCCCCUCAAUCCACACCUGCUGCUAUUAGAUUUGCACCAAAUCUGAGAGAGAGUCACAGAGAGAAAAGAGCACAAAAAUGAAAGAAGAACGUUGUUGACCAAAUAACAUUCGACCCCAUUGACUUCUAUUGUAAUGAUACAAAUCCACUGAAACAUUUCAUGUCAUGUGAAGGUUUUAAACAACGUGAG